AUUGAACGCUGGCGGCAGGCCUAACACAUGCAAGUCGAACGAGUGGCGGACGGGUGAGUAAUGUCUGGGAAACUGCCCGAUGGAGGGGGAUAACUACUGGAAACGGUAGCUAAUACCGCAUACCAUCGGAUGUGCCCAGAUGGGAUUAGCUUGUAGGUGAGGUAACGGCUCACAUAGGCGACGAUCCCUAGCUGGUCUGAGAGGAUGAUCAGCCACACGGGAACUGAGAAACGGUCCAGACUUCUACGGUAGGAUGCAGUGGGGAAUAUUGGACAAGGGGCGCAAGCUGGAUCCAGCCAUACCGCGUGGGUGAAGAAGGCCUUCGGGUUGUAAAGGCCUUUUGUUGGGAAAGCGGUACCCAAAGAAUAAGCACCGGCUAACUUCGUGCCAGCCGCCGCGGUAAUAC
rnacentral:rRNA from 1 species